UUUGGUUUCACUGUCAUGAAAGACAACUAUUGAAUAAUAGUCUAAACAAAGCGUAUCGCAGAAUCAGAGAAGAUGACCUGUGACUUUCUCGUUGGUUCAUCUGUGAAUUGGUCUUCAGCUUGUGGAAAAGGCAAAAGGUGUAAAAUGCUAAAGUCAGACGGCAAAACAUGGCUCAACAACGCCGCCAUGGGAGACUCUCGGCUGCCUGUUUCACCAGCCUGUAACUCCAUGUCCAUCUGACCUGUCACCAUCUCCAAAACCACCAACAGUGUUAUUACUCCUGUCAAAUCAAACAUGAAGAACUGGCCUACUUGUUAAUAUUUCAGCCAACUCUUAUCCAUUCAAUAAUAAGUUGGGAGUCCAGCCCUAAAGAAAGAUAAAUGCUGUUAAACACCAGGAUUAAAACUGUUUCAAACUC